AUUUAAAUACUUUAUUAAAAAUAUUAAUUUCUGGAAUUAAACAUUAUUUGUUAUAUUUAAAU
rnacentral:tRNA from 1 species